rnacentral:rRNA from 1 species
CGAACGCUGGCGGCGUGCUUAACACAUGCAAGUCGAACGGAAAGGCCCUGCUUUUGUGGGGUGCUCGAGUGGCGAACGGGUGAGUAACACGUGAGUAACCUGCUCUUGACUUUGGGAUAACUUCAGGAAACUGGGGCUAAUACCGGAUAGGAGCUCCUGCUGCAUGGUGGGGGUUGGAAAGUUUCGGCGGUUGGGGAUGGACUCGCGGCUUAUCAGCUUGUUGGUGGGGUAGUGGCUUACCAAGGCUUUGACGGGUAGCCGGCCUGAGAGGGUGACCGGCCACAUUGGGACUGAGAUACGGCCCAGACUCCUACGGGAGGCAGCAGUGGGGAAUAUUGCACAAUGGGCGGAAGCCUGAUGCAGCAACGCCGCGUGCGGGAUGACGGCCUUCGGGUUGUAAACCGCUUUCGCCUGUGACGAAGCGUGAGUGACGGUAAUGGGUAAAGAAGCACCGGCUAACUACGUG